ACACACUGGGUUUACAUUCUGUUAAUGAUAGAUUUUGCUUAAAUCAAGUCACUUUUUCUUCAGUUUUCUCUGUUUCUGAUAUAAUCAGCCUCAACUUUACUCUAUGCUUUCAUGAACAUUGACAUGAUCAGUAAAUUCAAUGUAGGAAAAUACCUGAUUUACACUG